rnacentral:rRNA from 1 species
UACGUAGGGGGGCAAGCGUUGUCCGGAGUUACUGGGCGUAAAGCGCACGCAGGCGGUCGAUUAAGUUUUGGAGUGACAGUUGGUGGCUUAACUGCCAAAGUGCUUCGAAAACUGAUCGACUUGAGGGCUUCAGAGGGACACGAAUUCCGGGUGGAGUGGUGGAAAUGGACGCAGAUAUCAGGAGGAACAGCCGGUGGCGAAGGCGGAUCGUCUGGGCCGAUACUGACGCUGAGGAGCGAAAGCGUGGGGAGCGAACAGGA